rnacentral:lncRNA from 1 species
GGAUGAGGAAGAGAAGAAGGGGUGAAGAGGAAGGAGAAGGAGAAGGAGAGGUCAUCGACGAGGAAAAGAUAGAGAUAUAGAGAGCCACUGUAGAGAAAAACGGCUUACAAGCGGAAUUGGAGAAGGAAAACGACGAUGAGGAGAAGUAGGUGAGGAAGAGAGGAAAGAAAAGGUUGCUGGCAAGAAAAAAGUAGAGAUGGAGAGAGUUGCCAUAGAGGAGGAGAGCUGAUAAACAGACUUGGAGGGGGAGG